rnacentral:misc_RNA from 1 species
GAUGAAGAACGUAGCGAAAUGCGAUAAGUAAUGUGAAUUGCAGAAUUCAGUGAAUCAUCGAAUCUUUGAACGCACAUUGCGCCUCCUGGUAUUCCGGGGGGCAUGCCUGUCCGAGCGUCAUUUCACCACUCAAGCCUCGCUUGGUAUUGGGCAACGCGGUCCGCCGCGUGCCUCAAAUCGACCGGCUGGGUCUUCUGUCCCCUAAGCGUUGUGGAAACUAUUCGCUAAAGGGUGUUCGGGAGGCUACGCCGUAAAACAACCCCAUUUCUAAGGUUGACCUCGGAUCAGGUAGGGAUACCCGCUGAACUUAAGCAUAUCAAUAAGCGGAGGA